rnacentral:lncRNA from 1 species
UUGCCUUCGAAACACGAUUUUGUCCCUCGAUGACCCUUCGGUGUAGCCUACGGUUAAAUGAUGAUAGUCCCUUCGAAUGCUAAGGUAUCCUCACAACUGUUGCCUUCAAUGACCAGCCGAUGACCCUACGAUGACCCUUAAACAUCCCAAGGAUAAAACUACUUGCUUCCCAAUAGUAAGGACAGUUUUACCCUCAUAAGGAUAGGAACUGCCCGAAAAGACCUCGGACAGGUAUAACCUUAAUUGCUCAUUCAUAACCUAAAAAAAUACUCUUCACACCUCACACCUUUCAAACAUCUUUUUUUUGGAAAAUCACCACUUAGCAUACAUCCGUACUAGGAUCAUUGCCGAGUUAUAUUUUUUCUAAACUACUUUCAAAAAAAACUUGAACGAGAUAAUCACUUUGUAUACAUUCAUGCAAGAAUCAUUACAAAGUUAAAUUCUCAUUUUCAAAACAUUUUUAU